ACAUGCCUACAACAUAGUGUUAAUGCAUCAGAUCCCAUUAUAACUCUGCAGUUAAGCGCGCUCAAGCUAGAGUAGUACUGGGAUGGGUGACCACUCGGUAAGUUAUACUAUUUUACAUGUC
rnacentral:rRNA from 1 species